rnacentral:rRNA from 1 species
UGGGGAAUAUUGCACAAUGGGCGAAAGCCUGAUGCAGCGACGCCGCGUGAGGGAUGACGGCCUUCGGGUUGUAAACCUCUUUCAGUAGGGAAGAAGCGAAAGUGACGGUACCUGCAGAAGAAUCGCCGGCUAACUACGUGCCAGCAGCCGCGGUAAUACGUAGGGCGCAAGCGUUAUCCGGAAUUAUUGGGCGUAAAGAGCUCGUAGGCGGUUUGUCGCGUCUGCCGUGAAAGUCCGGGGCUCAACUCCGGAUCUGCGGUGGGUACGGGCAGACUAGAGUGAUGUAGGGGAGACUGGAAUUCCUGGUGUAGCAGUGAAAUGCGCAGAUAUCAGGAGGAACACCGAUGGCGAAGGCAGGACUCUGGGCAUUAACUGACGCUGAGGAGCGAAAGCAUGGGGAGCGAACAGG